rnacentral:rRNA from 1 species
CCGUAACUAUAACGGUCCUAAGGUAGCGAAAUUCCUUGUCGGGUAAGUUCCGACCCGCACGAAAGGCGUAAUGAUUUGAGCACUGUCUCGACAAUGCAUCCGGUGAAAUUGAAGUACCAGUGAAGAUGCUGGUUACCCGCGCCAGGACGGAAAGACCCCAUGGAGCUUUACUCCAGUUUGAUACUGGGAUUCGGUACUGCAUGUACAGGAUAGGUGGGAGACGAAGAAGGAUGGACGCCAGUCUGUCCGGAGUCGCUGUUGGGAUACCACCCCUGUAGUACUGGGUUUCUAACCAGUUACCAUGAUCUGGUAAUGGGACAAUGUCAGGCGGGGAGUUUGACUGGGGCGGUCGCCUCCGAAAGGGUAUCGGAGGCGCUCAAAGGUUCCCUCAGAAUGGUUGGAAACCAUUUGAAGAGUGCAAAGGCAGAAGGGAGCUUGACUGCGACACCGACGGGUGGAGCAGGUACGAAAGUAGGACUUAGUGAUCCGGUGGUAUAAAGUGGGAUUGCCAUCGCUCAACGGAUAAAAGCUACCCUGGGGAUAACAGGCUUAUCACUCCCAAGAGUUCACAUCGACGGAGUGGUUUGGCACCUCGAUGUCGGCUCAUCGCAUCCUGGGGCUGUAGCAGGUCCCAAGGGUUGGGCUGUUCGCCCAUUAAAGCGGUACGCGAGCUGGGUUCAGAACGUCGUGAGACAGUUCGGUCCCUAUCUGUCGUGGGCGCAGGAUAUUUGAUGGGAGCUGUCCCUAGUACGAGAGGACCGGGACGGACGUACCUCUGGCGCACCAGUUGUUCCGCCAGGAGCAUAGCUGGGCAACUACGUACGGAUCGGAUAAACGCUGAAAGCAUCUAAGCGUGAAGCCGACCCAAAGAUAAGAUGUCCCAUUGUUUUAAACAAGUAAGACCCCUUGAAGACUACAAGGUUGAUAGGCACGAUGUGUAAGUGGAGCGAUCCAUUCAGCAAGCGUGUACUAAUAGGUCGAGGGCUUGACCAC